AUAUAUACAAGUCAUUUUAAACAUACCACUUGUGCAAUAUCAAACAUUAUCAAGUCACGAUAUAUCACUGAAAAUCAUGAAAACGUAUACAAGUCAUCAACAAGAAAUCAUAUCCAAAUACCAUUUACAUAUCAUCACCAUGUCAUUUAACCAAUAAAAAAUAUGCCCGAUGAACAACAUAAACAAAUACAGAUACACGGUUAUCCACCCAAGACACGCCAAAAUGCU
rnacentral:lncRNA from 1 species